rnacentral:rRNA from 1 species
UACGGAGGAUCCGAGCGUUAUCCGGAUUUAUUGGGUUUAAAGGGAGCGUAGGUGGAUUGUUAAGUCAGUUGUGAAAGUUUGCGGCUCAACCGUAAAAUUGCAGUUGAAACUGGCAGUCUUGAGUACAGUAGAGGUGGGCGGAAUUCGUGGUGUAGCGGUGAAAUGCUUAGAUAUCACGAAGAACUCCGAUUGCGAAGGCAGCUCACUAGACUGCAGCUGACACUGAUGCUCGAAAGUGUGGGUAUCAAACAGG